UGGGGAAUAUUGCACAAUGGGCGCAAGCCUGAUGCAGCCAUGCCGCGUGUAUGAAGAAGGCCUUCGGGUUGUAAAGUACUUUCAGCGAGGAGGAAGGCGUUAAGGUUAAUAACCUUGGCGAUUGACGUUACUCGCAGAAGAAGCACCGGCUAACUCCGUGCCAGCAGCCGCGGUAAUACGGAGGGUGCAAGCGUUAAUCGGAAUUACUGGGCGUAAAGCGCACGCAGGCGGUUUGUUAAGUCAGAUGUGAAAUCCCCGGCU
rnacentral:rRNA from 1 species